AAUGAACGCUGGCGGCAGGCCUAACACAUGCAAGUCGAACGGAUCCUUCGGGAUUAGUGGCGGACGGGUGAGUAACGCGUGGGAACAUACCCAAAGGUACGGAAUAGCCUCGGGAAACUGGGAGUAAUACCGUAUGUGCUCGAAAGAGGAGAGAUUUAUCGCCUUUGGAUUGGCCCGCGUUGGAUUAGGUAGUUGGUGGGGUAAUGGCCUACCAAGCCGACGAUCCAUAGCUGGUUUGAGAGGAUGAUCAGCCACACUGGGACUGGGACACGGCCCAGACUCCUACGGGAGGCAGCAGUGGGGAAUCUUAGACAAUGGGGGAAACCCUGAUCUAGCCAUGCCGCGUGAUCGAUGAAGGCCUUAGGGUUGUAAAGAUCUUUCAGGUGGGAAGAUAAUGACUGUACCACCAGAAGAAGCCCCGACUAACUCCGUGCCAGCCGCCGCCGUAA
rnacentral:rRNA from 1 species